UAAAGCGCGCGUAGGUGGUUUGUUAAGUUGGAUGUGAAAUCCCCGGGCUCAACCUGGGAACUGCAUCCAAAACUGGCAAGCUAGAGUAUGGUAGAGGGUGGUGGAAUUUCCUGUGUAGCGGUGAAAUGCGUAGAUAUAGGAAGGAACACCAGUGGCGAAGGCGACCACCUGGACUGAUACUGACACUGAGGUGCGAAAGCGUGGGGAGCAAACAGGAUUAGAUACCCUGU
rnacentral:rRNA from 1 species